GAUGAACGCUGGCGGCGUGCCUAAUACAUGCAAGUCGAGCGAACGGACGAGAAGCUUGCUUCUCUGAUGUUAGCGGCGGACGGGUGAGUAACACGUGGAUAACCUACCUAUAAGACUGGGAUAACUUCGGGAAACCGGAGCUAAUACCGGAUAAUAUUUUGAACCGCAUGGUUCAAAAGUGAAAGACGGUCUUGCUGUCACUUAUAGAUGGAUCCGCUCUGCAUUAGCUAGUUGGUAAGGUAACGGCUUACCAAGGCAACGAUGCAUAGCCGACGUGAGAGGGUGAUCGGCCACACUGGAACUGAGACACGGUACAGACUAAUACGGGAGGAAGAAGUAGGGAAUCUUCCGCAAUGGGCGAAAGCCUGAAGGAGCAACGCCGCGUGAGUGAUGAAGGUCUUCGGAUCGUAAAACUCUGUUAUUAGGGAAGAACAUAUGUGUAAGUAACUGUGCACAUCUUGACGGUACCUAAUCAGAAAGCCACGGCUAACUACGUG
rnacentral:rRNA from 1 species